GACGAACGCUGGCGGCGUGCUUAACACAUGCAAGUCGAACGGAAAGGCCCUGCUUUUGUGGGGUGCUCGAGUGGCGAACGGGUGAGUAACACGUGAGUAACCUGCCCUUGACUUUGGGGUAACUUCAGGACACUUGGGCUAAUACCGGAUAGGAGCUCCUGCUGCUUGGUGGGGGUUGGAUAGUUUCGGCGGUUGGGGAUGGACUCGCGGCGUAUCAGCUUGUUGGUGGGGUAGUGGCUUACCAUGGCUUUGACGGGUAGCCGGGCUGAGAGGGUGACCGGCCACAUUGGGACUGAGAUAAGGCCCAGACUCCUACGGGAGGGAGCAGUGGGGAAGAUUGCACAAUGGGCGGAAGCAUGAUGCAGCAACGCCGCGUGCGGGAUGACAGCCUUCGGGUUGUAAACCGAUUUCGCCUGUGACGAAGCGUGAGUGACGGUAAUGGGUAAAGAAGCACCGGCUAACUACGUG
rnacentral:rRNA from 1 species